UUGGUGCCAGCAUCGUUUGCAUCAGAUAAAUCACAACAAAGAUAUGGUGACCCAAGACCCACGGUUAUAUAAGGAGGUGUAUGAAGAAACGACAGCAUAGAGGACCCAGCACAUCCCCUCACAG